CACGCCGAAUGCUGUCGGUGCUAGUCCCAAUCAGCGAAUUUUCUCGAGGAACACACGUGGAGUAGUACCCACCAUCACAAAUAAGUUGCAGCCAGCGCAAGCAUCACGUGUUGAAGAACGGAUUGCGCACAAGAGAAAGAUAGUCAAGGCAAGCUAUGACAAAAAAGCGAAGGUUCUACCAGAUUUGCAAGUUGGUGGCAAUGUCGUAAUUCAGCGAAGGCCUGAUGUGACUAAGGUUUGGGAGCAAGCAACACUGAUGGGUAAAUUUUCGGACCAGUCUUGCGAGGUACAAACUAAGGAUGGCAGAGUUUACAGGCGGAGUGCAGUGCAUGUUAAACCUGGUGACAACCACAAGUCCAACAUGCAACGAAGCGAUGAUUCUGUGAAGCAACCAAUCAUGGAGCAGCAGAAUGAAGAUCAACGCAAGGGAACUCCAAUCGAAAACAAGAAUCAAAUAGUAUUCGAAAGACGUGAUUAUAACAAAACAACCAUCAAUAAGCCCGAGACAAUACUGGUUCCAGAUGGCCCGCCGCAGAUAACAUCACAACCCGAAAUACAUCGUGGGGUCAACCAUCAGCGUGAACCAAUAUCAAAACCGAAGACUCGUCCAAAGAGGGAGAUUAGAAAACCAGCGAAGUUAGCGGAUUAUAAGUUGUAAUCCUUUUGUCGUUACUUGUUUUUAUUAUCAACAAUAUUAGCUUAACGGAAGAGGGGAGAUGUUGUAUUUGAACCACCCUAUUAUAUGAGUCUCUAAUGUAUCACACUAAUGCGAAUAACAAUAAACAGUAUGUAUCAGACAGUCAACACCA